CGCUGAGGUCACGAAAAGCGUGGGGGAGGCAAAACAGGAAUUAGAACCCUGGUAGUACACGCCAGUAAAUCGAUGAGUACUAAGUGUCGGGAUUACUCGGUACUGAAGUUAACACAUUAAGUACUCCGCCUUGAGUAGUACGUACGCAAGUAUGAAACUUAAAAGGAAUUGACGGGACUCCGCACAAGCGGUGGAUCAUGUUGUUUAAUUCGAAGAUACACGAAAAACCUUACCAGGUCUUGACAUACUCUGCAAAGCUAUAGCAAUAUAGUGGAGGUUAUCAGGGAUACAGGUGGUGCAUGGUUGUCGUCAGCUCGUGUCGUGAGAUGUUAGGUUAAGUCCUAAAACGAGCGCAACCCUUGUCAUUAGUUGCCAGCAUGUCAUGAUGGGGCACUUUAAUGAGACUGCCAAUGAAAAAUUGGAGGAAGGUGAGGAUCACGUCAAAUCAUCAUGCCCCUUAUGAUCUGGGCUACAAACGUGAUACAAUGGCUGUUACAAAGAGUAGCUGAAACGCAAGUUUAUAGCCAAUCUCAUAAAAGCAGUCUCAGUUCGGAUUGAAGUCUGCAACUCGACUUCAUGAAGUUGGAAUCGCUAGUAAUCGCGAAUCAGCAUGUCGCGGUGAAUACGUUCUCGGGGUUUGUACACACCGCCCGUCAAACCACGAAAGUUGGUAAUACUCAAAAACGGUAGCCUAACUUCUUCGGAAGAGGGAACCGUCUAAGGUAGGAUCGAUGAUUGGGGUUAAGUCGUAACAAGGUAUCCCUACCGGAAGGUGGGGAUGGAUCACCUCCUUUCUAAGGAAUAAUUUUUUAAAUAUUCAUCUUCAGUUUUGAAAGACUUAGUUCUUAUAAGUUUUUCUUUUUUAAGGAAAAGAAAAUGGGCCUAUAGCUCAGUUGGUUAGAGCACACGCCUGAUAAGCGUGAGGUCGAUGGUUCAAGUCCAUUUAGGCCCCCCAACCGAAAAAAAGGUCUUUUUUCUAAUUCUUAAAAAAAAAGUUCUUUGAAAAGUAGAUAAACAAAGUAUUUUUUAAAAAUCAAAGAAUGCAACG
rnacentral:misc_RNA from 1 species